AACGAACGCUGGCGGCAUGCCUAACACAUGCAAGUCGAACGAGACCUUCGGGUCUAGUGGCGCACGGGUGCGUAACGCGUGGGGACCUGCCCUUAGGUUCGGAAUAACUCCCCGAAAGGGGUGCUAAUACCGGAUAAUGUCUUCGGACCAAAGAUUUAUCGCCUUUGGAUGGGCCCGCGUUGGAUUAGCUAGUUGGUAGGGUAAAAGCCUACCAAGGCGACGAUCCAUAGCUGGUCUGAGAGGAUGAUCAGCCACACUGGGACUGAGACACGGCCCAGACUCCUACGGGAGGCAGCAGUGGGGAAUAUUGGACAAGGGGCGAAAGCCUGAUCCAGCAAUGCCGCGUGAGUGAUGAAGGCCUUAGGGUUGUAAAGCUCUUUUACCCGGGAUGAUAAUGACAGUACCGGGAGAAUAAGCUCCGGCUAACUCCGUG
rnacentral:rRNA from 1 species